rnacentral:rRNA from 1 species
GGGGAAUCUUGCGCAAUGGGCGAAAGCCUGACGCAGCAACGCCGCGUGCGGGAUGAAGGCCUUCGUGGUUGUAAACCGCUUUCAGUAGGGACGAAAAUGACGGUACCUGCAGAAGAAGCUCCGGCUAACUACGUGCCAGCAGCCGCGGUAAUACGUAGGGGGCGAGCGUUGUCCGGAUUCAUUGGGCGUAAAGAGCUCGUAGGCGGUUCAGUAAGUCAGGUGUGAAAGCUCCGAGCUCAACUCGGAGACGCCAUCUGAUACUGCUGUGACUAGAAUCCAGUAGGGGAGUGUGGAACUCCUGGUGUAGCGGUGGAAUGCGCAGAUAUCAGGAAGAACACCAGCGGCGAAGGCGGCACUCUGGGCUGGUAUUGACGCUGAGGAGCGAAAGUGUGGGUAGCAAAC